AUGAGGAGAUGGCCAGCGCGGCGUUCACGCAUUUUGAUGGCUUGCUGGGCACUGCCGUGGACCGAGAACACACGCUUGAUCUCUCCCAACUCAUUAUACCCAGCGACCUCACAUGCCUCGACGAGCCCUUCAGCCAGGAGGAGAUAUGGGAGGCCGUCAAGCGCAUGCCGGCGCGAAAAGCGCCUGGGCCGGACGGCUUCACCGCGGAAUUUUUGCGUGCUUGCUGGAGCAUCAUACGACACGACAUUUGGAGCGUGUUCGAGCUGUUGUACACGCUGCGCGGGCGCGGGUUUAGCAGGCUCAACCAAGCGCUACUUACCCUGCUGCCCAAGCGCGCGGACGCUCAGCAACUCGGAGACUACUGGCCGAUCUGCUUGA
rnacentral:rRNA from 1 species